rnacentral:rRNA from 1 species
CUGGCUUCGUAGUGACCUGCGGAAGGAUCAUUAUCGAGUUUUGACCGGGUUGUAGCUGGCCUUCCGAGGCAUGUGCACGCCCUGCUCAUCCACUCUACACCUGUGCACUUACUGUGGGCUUCAGAUUGCGAGGCACGCUCUUUACCGGGCUUGCGGAGCAUAUCUGUGCCUGCGUUUAUCACAAACUCUAUAAAGUAACAGAAUGUGUAUUGCGAUGUAACACAUCUAUAUACAACUUUCAGCAACGGAUCUCUUGGCUCUCGCAUCGAUGAAGAACGCAGCGAAAUGCGAUAAGUAAUGUGAAUUGCAGAAUUCAGUGAAUCAUCGAAUCUUUGAACGCACCUUGCGCUCCUUGGUAUUCCGAGGAGCAUGCCUGUUUGAGUGUCAUGAAAUCUUCAACCUACAAGCUUUUGUGGUUUGUAGGCUUGGACUUGGAGGCUUGUCGGCCGUUAUCGGUCGGCUCCUCUUAAAUGCAUUAGCUUGGUUCCUUGCGGAUCGGCUCUCGGUGUGAUAAUGUCUACGCCGCGACCGUGAAGCGUUUGGCGAGCUUCUAACCGUCUUAUAAGACAGCUUUAUGACCUCUGACCUCAAAUCAGGUAGGACUACCCGCUGAACUUAAGCAUAUCAAUAAGCGGAGGAAAAGAAACUAACAAGGAUUCCCCUAGUAACUGCGAGUGAAGCGGGAAAAGCUCAAAUUUAAAAUCUGGCGGUCUUUGGCCGUCCGAGUUGUAGUCUGGAGAAGUGCUUUCCGCGCUGGACUGAAAA